AUUAGUUUCACUAAAAUAGAGAAAUUAAAUAAUAGUUUGAUUGGCAUUAAAAUCAACCGAUUAAUAAAAAAAAAUUGUCAAGAAACUAAAUAGUUUAAAGAACUAAAAAUAGAGGAAAUGAGUAGUCUAUUUUUUAAAAUGGAGUAAUUAAGUAGUUAGUUUCAUAAGAAUGCAGGAAUUAAUGGUAAUUCCCUUUUUUAAAAGGGUUUUAUCCUAUAGCAUGCCAUAAAUCAUAUCAUAUUAAUUAUUAUGUCUCGUUUCAAGUUAUUUUCUUGUUCCUGCAUCUUAAUCUCCAAAUAAAAGCAAAGACAAAGUGCUCACGUCAGCAUGUAUGUUGCAAUGUCUACGCUUAUGAGCUUGAAUUGGACUUAGGGCCUUUUUGGCAUUGCUUUUGAAACUGCUGUUGAGAAAAUUACUUUUUUAAAU
rnacentral:misc_RNA from 1 species